rnacentral:misc_RNA from 1 species
UCAAACUUGGUCAUUUAGAGGAAGUAAAAGUCGUAACAAGGUCUCCGUAGGUGAACCUGCGGAGGGAUCAUUACCGAGUUCCUGCCCCCCGGGCAGACCUCCCACCCACUGUUAUCACUACGACCGUUGCUUUGGCGGGCCGCCGGGCCCCCCCAGCCGCCGGCUCCCGCUGGCGCGCGCCCGCCAGAGGCCCUAUAGACUCGUGAAGUUAGUGUCGUCCGAGUGUCAUAUAAUCGUUAAAACUUUCAACAACGGAUCUCUUGGUUCUGGCAUCGAUGAAGAACGCAGC